AUUGAACGCUGGCGGCAUGCUUUACACAUGCAAGUCGAACGGCAGCACGGGGGCAACCCUGGUGGCGAGUGGCGAACGGGUGAGUAAUAUAUCGGAACAUAUCCGGAAGUGGGGGAUAACGUACCGAAAGGUACGCUAAUACCGCAUAUGCCCUGAGGGGGAAAGGAGGGGAUCGCAAGACCUUUCGCUUUCGGAGUGGCCGAUAUCGGAUUAGCUAGAUGGUGAGGUAAAGGCUCACCAUGGCGACGAUCCGUAGCUGGUCUGAGAGGACGACCAGCCACACUGGGACUGAGACACGGCCCAGACUCCUACGGGAGGCAG
rnacentral:rRNA from 1 species